GUGAUCCUCCCACCUUGACCUCCCAAAGUGCUGUGAUUACAGCUCUGAUUCAUCAUGUGAGGCUGGUGUACUUUUUCUGGAUUUUACUAUACUAUCUAAACCAAAAUUUUAAUGCAUGCAUUAAUAAUGCAUAAUAACAAGAAAAAACAAAACAGAAUACAGCUUUUAUAUUAUUGAACUUUAUGUACAAAAUCAUUUGAUUUCAAAUAAACAUUUAAUGUAAAAACAAACGCUCUUUUAAACUGAAUUUUUUUUUACAUCUACUGUACCAUUCAAAUGCUUUAUCAUCUUACAUGAUUUCUUCAAAAUCUGUUAUCAAGGGUACAUAUAGAAAAGCACUUUUUUAUAAAUAGAAACAAAGGGAUUUUUUCAGCUUUUAUUAUAAGAUGACAUAAAAAGUUUACUCAACAGAAGUAAUUUCAUUACUAUUUGGGGGAGGGAAUCACCAACUUUUUGUGCAAACAAUGCUAGCCUUCUUUUAAGCAUUAAGAGCAUAACUGCUUAAGAAAUGACAUAAGCAAUAAUUCUACACCUACAUCUCCCCUAAAAUAAUCU